rnacentral:rRNA from 1 species
GACAGAGGCCCCGAGCGUUAGGCGGAAUCACUGGGCUUAAAGCGUGUGUAGGCGGGCCCGUAAGUGUCUUGUGAAAUCCCACGGCUCAACCGUGGAACUGCUGGGCAUACUGCGGGUCUUGGGCCAACUAGGGGCAGCCGGAACAAGCGGUGGAGCGGUGAAAUGCGUAGAUAUCGCUUGGAACGCCGAAGGUGAAAACAGGCUGCUGGGGUUGCGCCGACGCUGAGACACGAAAGCCCAGGGGAGCAAACGGG